GGCGGGGUAGCACACGGUGUGUACCGGGUAAUAAUAAAUUCGAACUCUCUGGCAUCCCGAGGGUGCUUGUUCGACUCAAGCUCUCGCCA